rnacentral:ncRNA from 1 species
UAAUGUAAUUGAAAGUGAUUAUCAAUUCCAAACUAAGACAUUCCCCCCCACACAUAUUUUGUUCUUAAUUGGAAUGAUCAUUUUCAUAAAUAUCCCCUUUUAUAUGCCCGUAAAAGACUAACGUUGCGAGACAACGUGAAAUAUAAAAGCCGGUUUUACAUUGUAAAAUCGGCUUUUAU